AACGAACGCUGGCGGCAGGCCUAACACAUGCAAGUCGAACGAAGGCCCGGAGCUUGCUUCGGUGCCUUAGUGGCAGACGGGAUAGUAACGCGUGGGAAUUUGCCCAAUAGUACGGAAUAACUGCGGGAAACUGCAGCUAAUACCGUAUACGCCCUCCCGGGGGAAAGAGUUUAUCGCUAUUGGAUAAGCCCGCGUCGAAUUAGCUUGUUGGUGAGGUAAUGGCUCACCAAGGCGACGAUUCGUAGCUGGUCUGAGAGGACGAUCAGCAUCACUGGGACUGAGACACGGCCCAGACUCCUACGGGAGGCAGCAGUGGGGAAUAUUGGACAAUGGGCGCAAGCCUGAUCCAGCCAUGCCGCGUGUGUGAAGAAGGCCUUAGGGUUGUAAAGCACUUUCAGCAGGGAAGACGAUGACGGUACCUGCAGAAGAAGCCCCGGCCAACUCCGUG
rnacentral:rRNA from 1 species